GCUUCACUUGUGGGUUCCUUGACCGGGUCUUCAUCUAACUUGCUAUGGAACCCAGGAUCGCACAAGCUGUCUUCUGUCCCCCUGGCCGCCCUGGGUUCAGAAAGGAGCCGGGCAUCUGCUGGCCCGUGUGGCCUCCCCUCACACUCGCCCGCUGGGCGUGCAGCGCUGGGCCCGCCUCCGAGCAGGCCUGGCCGGCCAGGGACAGGCAAGCCUGGGACGGGGACGGCGGGAUGAGGGGUGAGUGUGCCCGGCCCGGCACCGCCCUGGGGGAAGCGAGCUAUGCGGAUGCGCGGGGCGGGGGCUGGAGGGAGGAGAGCGGAGGGCAGCUCGAGCCACCGUGCAACCGCUACAGCAGGUCUGACUAGUUUUAGGUGCCCAAAGGCAGCUUUGUUUCUCUGGUGACUCCAGGUAGCAGCAAACCUAAAUUCUUAAAACUGAUUCAUGUCUGAAUUACUAUCUUUCUGUCUCCCUGCAAGAACCUUUAACUUUGCAGAGUUACCAAGCGGUUCUAAGGUUUUUGCUGUAAUAAGCUUCAUAGGCAGUUAACUGCCAAGAAGCCCCCUACACCAGGCAUCUUCUGUGGUUCUAGGGUGUUCCGUGUGGAAUAGUGAAGGGAAGGGAUUCCGGCUCUUAAGGGCAUUUUCUGUAGGCACACUCAUGGUUAGAGAGGGCUGUGUGAAUCCGUGGAACAAAAGAAAAAAAGAACUACUUGAAUGUGCCACGGUCACAGAGUUACACGCGGAUAUGCCACUUGCUUGCUGCAGAUCAACCUUUAGCUCCUUGCUCUCCUCUCCUGGUGGCUGCUUAUCAUUCCACGCCACGCCGCAGCUCCUGGGGCUUGGAGCACCCCACCCUGGUGUUUAGAAGUGUUACCGGAGUUGAACUCAGGGAAUCUCAAAGUCCCAAGGUCAUCUCUACCCCAAAACAGGUUUGCAUAAAACUCUAGCCACACUAACUGAGAUAACAAGGUGGCAACUGUUUUAAACUGAUCCUCCCUGCGUGGUUAGCCCAUUUUAAAAUAACGCAUGCGACAGAUUUGCUUUUCAGAUUUCUCUCCUUGGAGGGAGCCUCCAUGUGCAUUUGAACUCUGUGGUCUGCAGCUGAAGAAGAAAUGUUUGUGCUGCCUCUCUGCUUGGCAUGAGUUUGGUGAUGUUCUUUUCCGAGUACUUUUUAAAACAGGCUGAUUUUUUAAAAAUAUGUUUUACUGCAUCCGGAAACGUAAAAUAAAAUCGAUUUCACCCAGUGACGAUCGUUAGCU
rnacentral:lncRNA from 1 species